rnacentral:rRNA from 1 species
CGAAGGGGGCUAGCGUUGUUCGGAAUUACUGGGCGUAAAGGGCGCGUAGGCGGCUUCGAUAGUCGGGCGUGAAAUGCCUGGGCUCAACCCAGGAACUGCGCUCGAAACUCCGAGGCUAGAGUGUGGGAGAGGAUAGUGGAAUUCCCAGUGUAGAGGUGAAAUUCGUAGAUAUUGGGAAGAACACCGGUGGCGAAGGCGGCUAUCUGGACCACAACUGACGCUGAGGCGCGAAAGCGUGGGGAGCAAACAGGAUUAGAUACCCUGGUAGUCCACGCUGUAAACUAUGUGUGCUUGACGUCAGAGGGCAUAGCCCCCUGGUGUCGGAGCUAACGCGGUAAGCACACCGCCUGGGGAGUACGGUCGCAAGAUUA